rnacentral:rRNA from 1 species
UACGUAGGGUGCAAGCGUUGUCCGGAAUUAUUGGGCGUAAAGAGCUCGUAGGCGGUCUGUCGCGUCGGCUGUGAAAACUCGGGGCUCAACCCCGAGCCUGCAGUCGAUACGGGCAGACUAGAGUGCGGUAGGGGAGACUGGAAUUCCUGGUGUAGCGGUGGAAUGCGCAGAUAUCGAGAGGAACACCUGCGGCGAAGGCGGGUCUCUGGGCCGAUACUGACGCUGAGGAGCGAAAGCGUGGGGAGCGAACAGG